rnacentral:lncRNA from 10 species
GGGAGAACAUCCAGAGGAGACCAUUGACAAUAAAAAAUACACUGCAGGAUUGUUUACAAUGGGCCAUGGACUCUACCAGUGGUUUCACCUGUUCAAUCUUAUUUAAUUCUUUCAACUCUCCUAUGAUCUUAUAGAGGAGGAAAACAAUAAUCAGAGAUUAUGAUUAGCAAUUUGUCUUCUCUCAUGUAUUUGGUGAAUGAUGAAGCUGAUAUUUAAAACCAAGGAGUCUGAUUCCAAAAGUUGUUCUCUUAAUAGAUAGUAUUCAAACCAUGUUUUGCCUGAAGUAGAGAUUAACCACUGACAUACUAAAUGUUUCAAGUUCUCAAAAGCCCCUCAUCUAGAUUGAGGAAUUACAUCUAUGAGUGUCCCCAGAAGAAGGCACUAAGACCAGAAUGUAGAAAAUGCUAAAAGCUGACAUGGAGACAAAAUAGGCUCAUCUUUCUUUUAAAGUACUUCCAUCAAGCCAGUUAGGAGAAUUUAAGUCAGGUUAGGGUCCAGAAAUGACUGCAUGGAUGAACCUGGAGGACGUUAUGCUAAUUGAAAUAAGCCAGACUGAUAAAGACAAACAUUGCAUGAUCUCACUUAUAUGUGGAACCUAAAAAAGUCAAACUCAUAGAAGCAGAGAGUAGAAUGGUGGUUACUAGAUGCUUGGGGGAGGGGGAAACGGAGAGGUAAUGGUUAAAGGGUACAAAAUUUUAGUUGUGUGAGGUAAAUUCUGGAGAUCUACUAUAUAUACAGCAUAGCAUCUAUAGCUGGCAAUUCUAUACUACAUACUUAAGAUUGAUAAGAGGUUAGAAGCCAGAAAUUCCAAGAUGACCUGACAAGGAAGCUCUUGGCAUGCCUUGAUCUUUUUUCCACCCAUCCAACAUGCAUGCAUUCAGAUGCAUAUACUCUGGUAAGCAACAUACUUACUGCCAUGGAGGCUGUGAAAAUGACUGAGUCACCCUGAAAGUGACUUGCAUUUUAGUAGGAAAGAUAAGAUAAUAGUAGAGCAACACUUAUACAGUUUCAGCACUAUUUCUGUAAUUAUCUCACCUUAUUAUUUGUCAUCUAUGUUGUCUUAGUCCAGACCAGCCCUGAAAUAUAAUGGUUUUAUAAUGCCAGUAACAAAAUAUUAGCUAUCUGAGUAGUUAAAGGAAUUCCUAGUUGACGUCUGUGUCAGUUUAUACUUGGCACCUAGUAGGAGAUCAUAAGUGAUAAUUCCACAUAGUGAAGACAGAAAAGAAAUGUGUGGCCUGUUGAUGGCCCAAAUUUAACCCAUUUCAGGAGAAGAGAUUUCUGCUAAGUUUUUUAUCCCCAUUGAGAUCACAGCUUGAAGGAACAUUUUAUCUCUUAAUAGCUUGAGCAGAAAAAGCUGUUUUGAAUGAAGACAUUUUUUCACUGGGUGAAGUCACUUCUGCAUGUGAACCCAAAAGGCAAGGGGCCACAGUGUCACCUCCCUGGCAUUACCAUUUGCCUUAUCUUCAUCCAGAAAGGGUGAGCUCCACUGGGGGAAAAAUUCUCACCAGAGAUGAGUCUUGUUACUCUCCCAUCAUGUUGUAUAAUCAGUCUCUUGAACUUAUUACUCCUGUCUAACUGAAAUUUUGUACUCCCCCAUUCUUCCCCCCAACCCUGAUAGCCCACUACAUCUUUAGAAACAAUCAACAGUGAUAUUGUACCAAACUAAACCAAAUACAAAGGGGAGUCCAAAGCUCUCCUCAUCGGCACACUUAGAGUGUUUUUACUUAUAAGGAAGAUCAAUGGUGGCUGAUCAAAGAAAACAGAACAGGGAAUCCAUAAAGAAAAGGAAAUCUAUAUUGUUUGGUUUUUGUCAUAUUUUGUUUUGUUUUUCCAAGUAUCACCAAGAAGAGAUCACUCAGAAAGA